rnacentral:rRNA from 1 species
UACAGAGGGGGCAAGCGUUGUUCGGAAUUACUGGGCGUAAAGGGCUCGUAGGCGGCCAACUAAGUCGGAUGUGAAAUCCCCAGGCUUAACCUGGGAACUGCAUCCGAUACUGGAUGGCUUGAAUCCGGGAGAGGGAUGCGGAAUUCCAGGUGUAGCGGUGAAAUGCGUAGAUAUCUGGAGGAACACCGGUGGCGAAGGCGGCAUCCUGGACCGGCAUUGACGCUGAGGAGCGAAAGCCAGGGGAGCAAACGGG